rnacentral:rRNA from 1 species
GGACUACACGGGUAUCUAAUCCUGUUUGAUCCCCACGCUGUCGCGCCUGAGCGUCAGUAACGGGCCAGUGAGCCGCCUUCGCCACCGGUGUUCUUCCGAAUAUCUACGAAUUUCACCUCUACACUCGGAAUUCCACUCACCUCUCCCGUACUCGAAGUCCAACAGUCUCAGGGGCAGUUCCGGAGUUAAGCUCCGGGCUUUCACCUCUGACUUGUAGGACCGCCUGCGCGCGCUUUACGCCCAGUAAUUCCGAACAACGCUAGCCCCCUUCGUAUUACCGCGGCUGCUGGCAC